rnacentral:rRNA from 1 species
ACGGCUCAGUAACACGUGGAUAACCUGCCCUUGGGACCGGCAUAACCCCGGGAAACUGGGGAUAAUUCCGGAUAACGCACAUAUGCUGGAAUGCUUUAUGCGUGAAAUGGAUUCGUCUGCCCAAGGAUGGGUCUGCGGCCUAUCAGGUAGUAGUGGGUGUAAUGGACCUACUAGCCUACAACGGGUACGGGUUGUGAGAGCAAGAGCCCGGAGAUGGAUUCUGAGACAUGAAUCCAGGCCCUACGGGGCGCAGCAGGCGCGAAAACUUUACAAUGCGGGAAACCGUGAUAAGGGGACACCGAGUGCCAGCAUCAUAUGCUGGCUGUCCAGGUGUGUAAAAUACACCUGUUAGCAAGGGCCGGGCAAGACCGGUGCCAGCCGCCGCGGUAACACCGGCGGCCCGAGUGGUGAUCGUGAUUAUUGGGUCUAAAGGGUCCGUAGCCGGUUUGGUCAGUCCUCCGGGAAAUCUGACAGCUCAACUGUUAGGCUUUCGGGGGAUACUGCCAGACUUGGAACCGGGAGAGGUAAGAGGUACUACAGGGGUAGGAGUGAAAUCUUGUAAUCCCUGUGGGACCACCUGUGGCGAAGGCGUCUUACCAGAACGGGUUCGACGGUGAGGGACGAAAGCUGGGGGCACGAACCGGAUUAGAUACCCGGGUAGUCCCAGCCGUAAACGAUGCUCGCUAGGUGUCAGGCAUGGCGCGACCGUGUCUGGUGCCGCAGGGAAGCCGUGAAGCGAGCCACCUGGGAAGUACGGCCGCAAGGCUGAAACUUAAAGGAAUUGGCGGGGGAG